GAGGGAAGAGAGUCCUCCAGGGAAGGGCUUUCCUGGCCAUGGCUGUAGGGACCCUGGGCACAGAGACCAGUCUGCUGCAGGCAGCCAGCCUGGCCUGGUCAGCCUGUCUCAGGGGUGGAGGGCGGAGGGUGGAGGUGACGCGACCUCUCCCACUGGGCCAGGGAUUGGGCAGAACAAGAAGCAGUCAGGACCCUUGGUGCUCCUCAUCCCAGGCCCUCCCCACCCUGGACACGCUGGCUUCCACUUCUGCUACGGCUCCAUCCACGGUCUUUCUACCAGCACCGUGGGCCUGCACACGGGGAGGUCAGUGUCUGAGAUGCUCUUGCAGCCCAAAGCAGUCCCACAGUCAACACUGGUCACUGCAGAGCGAUGUGGACAGGGACAGGGAGGAGGACGUGGGAAGCGCAUGCUUAGUGAGCGCCAACUGCGUUCCAGGCCUGGUGCCAGAUCCCCGGAAUGUGAGUGGCCCUGAGUCUCGCUGCCAGCUGCCAGGCUGAGCUGGUGAAACAGGGCCUCACCUCACCAAGCUGGGAUGAGCAGCAGCCACCCGAGGCCCCAUCCCCCGCUGAGGCUGGAUGCUGGGAACGCCAACACGGACAAGGUCUGCUGGAAGGAGUGGGAGGCUCGACCCAGCUUCCCAGAGUCUGAGAGCACAGACGGAGCAGGAAAACAGCAGCUGUGGGGGAGGAAGGCGAGGGCACAUGGGCUGCAGGCCAAGAGAGCCCCCACCCGCCACUCUGCCAGGCAUCUGCUGCCUCUUAGCAGAAGGCGGCACCUUCGCCCCCGGUGCUGGGUUGAAGAGGCAAGGCCAGAGAGGGUGCUGACCCACGGGGGCCGAGCCACGCAGCCAAAAGGCAUCCGUGUCUCGGCCUGCACCUUCCCUGCCCGAGGAGGGCUCCCGGGG
rnacentral:lncRNA from 1 species